CAAAACCCAGGUGACCAUCAAAAGCCCUGCAGGCCUCACCUGCCUCAGUUAAGCUGCUGAAAACAGCGGGAGUUACAGUUUGCGAUUACCGGCCGGGACUGAGCUGACCUGCUUGCUCUGGU